rnacentral:rRNA from 1 species
CAGUAGCCGCGGUAAUACGAAGGGUGCAAGCGUUACUCGGAAUUACUGGGCGUAAAGCGUGCGUAGGUGGUGGUUUAAGUCCGUUGUGAAAGCCCUGGGCUCAACCUGGGAAUUGCAGUGGAUACUGGAUCACUAGAGUGUGGUAGAGGAUAGUGGAAUUUCCGGUGUAGCAGUGAAAUGCGUAGAGAUCGGAAGGAACAUCUGUGGCGAAGGCGACUAUCUGGGCCGACACUGACACUGAGAGACGAAAGCUAGGGGAGCAAAUGGGAUUAGAUACCCCUGUAGUCCCUGUCUCUUAUAC